rnacentral:rRNA from 1 species
GAUGAACGCUGGCGGCAUGCCUAACACAUGCAAGUCGGACGGGUAGAGGUGUCUCUCGCGGCGGUUGGGUGAGUAACGGGUAAGUAAUUGCCAUUGGGAUGGCUACAAUAACUGGAUACGGUUGCUAAUAGCCCGCUGAUCGAGGAGCAAAAGGAGGAAUGAGCCUGAGGAGUGGCCAGGGUUUGAUUUGAUAGCUGGUGCGGUAAUGGCUUACCAAGGCGAUGAUCAGUAGCCGACCCGAGAGGACGAUCGGCCACACUGGAACUGAGAGACGGCCCAGACUGCUACGGGAGGACGCAGCAGGGACCUUCGGGCAACGGGAGAAAGCAUUAUUCAGCAAUGGGGGGUGGGUGAAGAAGGCAUUGGGAUGGUAAAGUACAGUGACUAGGGAUGAAGAACUGUUUGUCUAGGAGAAGAUGCAUUGACGGUAUCUAAGGAAUAAGCAACGGCUAACUCUGUG